AGCGAACGCUGGCGGCAGGCCUAAUACAUGCAAGUCGAGCGGCCGUAGCAAUACGGCAGCGGCAGACGGGAGAGUAACACGUGGGAACGUACCUUUCGGUUCGGAACAACCCAGGGAAACUUGGGCUAAUACCGGAUACGUCCGUAAGGAGAAAGAUUUAUCGCCGAAAGAUCGGCCCGCGUCUGAUUAGCUUGUUGGUGAGGUAACGGCUCACCAAGGCGACGAUCAGUAGCUGGUCUGAGAGGAUGAUCAGCCUCACUGGGACUGAGACACGGCCCAGACUCCUACGGGAGGCAGCAGUAGGGAAUAUUGGACAAUGGGCGCAAGCCUGAUCCAGCCAUGCCGCGUGAGUGAUGAAGGCCUUAGGGUUGUAAAGCUCUUUCGGCGGGGAAGAUAAUGACGGUACCCGCAGAAGAAGCCCCGGCUAACUUCGUGCCAGCAGCCGCCGAGUAACAC
rnacentral:rRNA from 1 species